rnacentral:lncRNA from 1 species
UCAAGUUAGCACGUAAUUAGCACGUUAGUGUAUGCAUCACAGUCACCUUGGCUCCAUCCAGCAGGGGCGCUCUUGAGGCCCAGGCCCUGAUUCCGCGCACCUGAGGAACCACAGCUCUUGCUGCGUUCUAUUGGCCAAAGCAAGUCACAGCCGGCCUGAAUGCGAAAAGGCAGGUGACUAUAGCACCUCCUGGUGAGGGGAGCUGCAGCAGUCGGGCAACCCCCAAGGGAUUACUUACCAUUAAGUGCAACCUGGAAAAUGCAGAACUAUGUGAAGAUGAACACAAAAAUCAUUGUGCUUCAACAACUGAGAGAUGGAAUCCAAAGAUCCUCGAUCCCCACCAGCCAGAGACCAUGAAACAAAGUCAAGUUUCCAUGAUUGUCCAUGAAUAAUGACUCUAAGCUCCCAA